rnacentral:pre_miRNA from 1 species
GUGGUUAUGUUAAAGAAGCAGAGCAAUUGUUUGAUGAAAUGCCUGAAAGAAAUGUGGUGUCAUGGAAUGCUUUGAUUUCUGGUUAUUUGGACACCCAUUACCUUGAAAAUUUUGGACAUGUGGUGUCAUGGGAUAUUUUGGACACCCAUUAACCAAAAAUCAAAGCAUUCCAUGACACCACAUUUCUUUUAGGCAUUUCAUCAAACAGUUGCUCUGCUUCUUUAACAUAACCAC